rnacentral:rRNA from 1 species
UACGUAGGGCGCAAGCGUUUAUCCGGAAUUAUUGGGCGUAAAGAGCUCGUAGGCGGUUUGUCGCGUCUGCCGUGAAAGUCCGGGGGCUCAACUCCGGAUCUGCGGUGGGUACGGGCAGACUAGAGUGAUGUAGGGGGAGACUGGAAUUCCUGGUGUAGCGGUGAAAUGCGCAGAUAUCAGGAGGAACACCGAUGGCGAAGGCAGGUCUCUGGGCAUUAACUGACGCUGAGGAGCGAAAGCAUGGGGGAGCGAACAGG